rnacentral:rRNA from 2 species
CAGCCGCCGCGGUAAAACCAGCACCUCAAGUGGUCAGGAUGAUUAUUGGGCCUAAAGCAUCCGUAGCCGGCUCUGUAAGUUUUCGGUUAAAUCUGUACGCUCAACGUACAGGCUGCCGGGAAUACUGCAAAGCUAGGGAGUGGGAGAAGUAGACGGUACUCGGUAGGAAGGGGUAAAAUCCUUUGAUCUAUUGAUGACCACCUGUGGCGAAGGCGGUCUACCAGAACACGUCCGACGGUGAGGGAUGAAAGCUGGGGGAGCAAACCGGAUUAGAUACCCGGGUAGUUCCAGCUGUAAACUACGCAAACUCAGUGAUGCAUUGGCUUGUGGCCAAUGCAGUGCUGCAGGGAAGCCGUUAAGUUUGCCGCCUGGGAAGUACGUACGCAAGUAUGAAACUUAAAGGAAUUGGCGGGGGAGCAC